UGAGGAGUAUUGCACAAUGGGCGCAAGCCUGAUGCAGCGACGCCGCGUGUGGGAUGAAGGGGCUACGCCUCGUAAACCACUGUAGCCCGGGACGAAAAACGCCUUAGAGGCGUUAGACGGUACCGGGAAAGUAAGGGUCGGCUAACUACGUGCCAGCAGCCGCGGUAAUACGGAGGACCCAAGCGUUGUCCGGAUUUACUGGGUGUAAAGGGUGCGCAGGCGGAUGGGUAAGUCAGGGGUGAAAGUCUGCAGCUUAACUGUAGAAUUGCCUUUGAUACUGCUCAUCUUGAGUGUGGGAGAGGUUGAUGUAAUUCCAGGGGUAGCAGGGAAAUGCGUAGUUAUCUGGAAGAACAUCAGUGGCGAAGGCGGUCAACUGGCCCAUAACUGACGCUCAUGCACGAAAGCGUGGGGAGCAAACA
rnacentral:rRNA from 1 species